AAUACUUGUCGCUUUAAGUUUUUGCUUGUAACAUUUGAUCAUUCAUCUUAUUCAAAAAAUUAUGAAAUUAUUAUUUAUUUUGUUUGUGACUUGUUUUAUUAUCAAAAGUACUUUAAGUAUGACUUAUCUUUUUUAUAUUUAUAUUAAUUUUUCAAAUAAGACGAAUGAUUAAAUGUUGCAAAUAGAAAGUCAAAGCGACAAGUAUU
rfam:Oryza glaberrima chromosome 5 Oglab05_0006_3, whole genome shotgun sequence.